UACAGAGACUGCAAGCGUUGUUCGGAUUCAUUGGGCGUAAAGGGUGCGCAGGCGGUGUGCUAAGUCGGAUGUGAAAUCUCACAGCCUAACUGUGAUAGGUCAUUCGAAACUGGCAUGCUAGAGGAUUGGAGAGGAGACUGAAAUAGUUGGUGUAGCAGUGAAAUGCGUAGAGAUCAACUAGAACACCGGUGGCGAAGGCGAGUCUCUGGACAAUUCCUGACGCUCAGGCACGAAAGCCAGGGGAGCAAACGGG
rnacentral:rRNA from 1 species